rnacentral:pre_miRNA from 1 species
AAUAAGCGUGAGUUGUGGACAACAAUUGACCAUCCAUCUUAUUUAAUUUUUUUAUUAUUACUAUUUUUAUUGUUAUUAGAUGAUAAAAUAUGAAUAAUACUUUAUACGUGAAUUAAUUUUAAAAAAAUAUAAUUUUUUCAAAUAAGACAAAUGGUCAAGCGAUGGACACAGAAACUUAUGGAGUACUGUACA